AUUGAACGCUGGCGGCAGGCUUAACACAUGCAAGUCGAGCGGGGGAAGGUAGCUUGCUACUGGACCUAGCGGCGGACGGGUGAGUAAUGCUUAGGAAUCUGCCUAUUAGUGGGGGACAACAUCUCGAAAGGGAUGCUAAUACCGCAUACGUCCUACGGGAGAAAGCAGGGGAUCUUCGGACCUUGCGCUAAUAGAUGAGCCUAAGUCGGAUUAGCUAGUUGGUGGGGUAAAGGCCUACCAAGGCGACGAUCUGUAGCGGGUCUGAGAGGAUGAUCCGCCACACUGGGACGGAGACACGGCCCAGACUCCUACGGGAGGCAGCAGUGGGGAAUAUUGGACAAUGGGGGGAACCCUGAUCCAGCCAUGCCGCGUGUGUGAAGGAGGCCUUAUGGUUGUAAAGCACUUUAAGCGAGGAGGAGGCUACUCUAGUUAAUACCUAGGGAUAGUGGACGUUACUCGCAGAAUAAGCACCGGCUAACUCUGUGCCAGCCGCCGCGGUAA
rnacentral:rRNA from 1 species